rnacentral:misc_RNA from 1 species
CAACACAAGCAAGUAUUAUGAAUGUUUGCACGUCAAACACAUGGAUGAAUAUCAGAACAGAAACAGAGAACUCUUCACAGACCAACUAGAUGACUAAAUAUUUUGAUAUUAAAUGACUAACUAUGGGAAUACUUGUGUUGUUAGACCUGAAAUUGGAGCCAAUCUACAGUCAAACUCUCCAAAUAAUUAUAACUAACACCUGAGAUUUCAAAACAUGUAAAAACCAAUAACAAGAUUAGAUAUAUGAGCACAUCCAACAGGACCACCACAUAAUAUUGGAUCCUCCUCCAUACCAAAACAGAUGUAAAUAUAAAUUUUUUGAAAUCAAAUUCUUUGCUAUAAUAUGGAUAAUCUGCCUGAAUUUGUUGAUUGAAUGGAGUGAUCAUACAUUCAUAUGCAACAGAAAAUUUAUGGUACAACAUUUAUGCGUGAAGAAAAAUUGAGCAAUAUGUAAAACACUGACAACCACAACGAGGAGGAGAAAGAAACAGAGUAGCACUAAGGGGCAGAAAAUAGCAUGCGAUAUAUUUCAAAGAUAAAAUUACUUACCCCCAAGCAAGGAGGAGGACU